rnacentral:rRNA from 1 species
GACGAACGCUGGCGGCGUGCUUAACACAUGCAAGUCGAACGAUGAAGCCGGAGCUUGCUCCGGUGGAUUAGUGGCGAACGGGUGAGUAACACGUGAGCAAUCUGCCCUUGACUCUGGGAUAACUGCGGGAAACUGUAGCUAAUACCGGAUACGACACCUUGGGGCAUCCCAGGGUGUGGAAAGAAUUUCGGUCAAGGAUGAGCUCGCGGCCUAUCAGCUAGUUGGUGAGGUAAUGGCUCACCAAGGCGACGACGGGUAGCCGGCCUGAGAGGGUGACCGGCCACACUGGAACUGAGACACGGUCCAGACUCCUACGGGAGGCAGCAGUGGGGAAUAUUGCACAAUGGGCGAAAGCCUGAUUCGGCAACGCCGCGUGAGGGAUGAAGGCCUUCGGGUCGUAAACCUCUUUUAGCAGGGAAGAAGCGAAAGUGACGGUACCUGCAGAAAAAGCACCGGCUAACUACGUGCCAGCAGCCGCCGUAA